rnacentral:rRNA from 1 species
CCUACGGGUGGCAGCAGUGGGGAAUAUUGCACAAUGGGGGAAACCCUGAUGCAGCGACGCCGCGUGAGUGAAGAAGUAAUUCGUUAUGUAAAGCUCUAUCAGCAGGGAAGAAAAUGACGGUACCUGAGUAAGAAGCCCCGGCUAACUACGUGCCAGCGGCCGCGGUAAUACGUAGGGGGCAAGCGUUAUCCGGAUUUAGUGGGUUUAAAGGGUGCGUAGGCGGACUGUUAAGUCAGCGGUAAAAGCCCGGGGCUCAACCCCGGCGAGCCGUUGAAACUGGCUGUCUAGAGAUGUCGAGAGGUAUGCGGAAGGCGCAGUGUAGCGGUGAAAUGCUUAGAUAGUGCGCAGAACUCCGAUUGCGAAGGCAGCAUACCGGCGGCGAUCUGACGCUGAGGCACGAAAGCGUGGGUAUCGAACAGGAUUAGAUACCCUUGUAGUC